GCAAACGCAGGUGGAGAACUGGACGUGGUAAAAUUGGAUUAGCAACGUAAAGUCAGAAGAGUGGGUAAACAUCCAGGGAUGCAUUCAACAGGCACAAGUAAAACUGCUUGAUUCACUCAAGCUGCUAAAGGAGGCAAAGCAAUCGCUACAGUAAAAAAAAAAAAAAAAAGAAAAAACACUCCUCUUCUUGUAAAUACUGGCACCAUGGCAACCUCCAGAGCUCAGUGUGCAAAUCUACAUGUCAACCUCUUGUUCCUGUGUUGGUGCAAGGUACAGUAUUUUUCAUCUUAGCCCUGAAUGCAACUUCCAGCUGAUGAAUAAAGUGUGAGCUGGAGGGCAACAAGAGGAACAGACAACAACACAUUUUACACCUUUCUCACAUUUUGUUGUCACUGCUCCUCUAUUAUUAGGUUGUAAAUGUCCAAUGUGGUUAUUUCUUAACAUGAGCUGUCCUUUUUGAAGAAAAGUUUCACAGGAAGUGGAAAGUAAGCCAAACUGGAAAAAAAAAGCCAAAAAUGUAGACUUUAACUGUAUUUUACUAUCCAGUCCUAAUUAGCUUGUUAUAUUUCUGGUAAUAAGCAGUGGUCUUUCUUCUCAUUACUUGAGUGUCACAAAACGUGUCCCUCAGGACUCCGUUUCAGAGCAAACACUUUUUUACCAUUACCAUAUUAAUGAUUUGGGUCAAAGGGUUCCUGAUGGAUAUGUCCACUUGUCUUUAUGCUGAUGACAAAGUAGUUUAUUAUCAUGUAAACACAGUUGCCCUGGUGUUUCAUCAUCUGUUGGUUAUAUUUUCCAUUAAGUCAUAGAUGUUCCUCCUGGUAUCAGGCUCCUACAGAUAGUGAAGUGAUCAAACAGGGCACAAGGUAUUUAUUAUGGUUAGCCAUGACAUCAGCCAUCAUCAGCAUGUAAUUCAUGAAGAAUGCAGGGAAAUUCCCUGAGCUGUGUCAACAGCCAGAUGAGGCAGUGAACAUGGAUUGGACAGCAUUUUUAGGAUUUCAACAGCUGCAUGUCAGAGGACCUGAAAUGGUGUGAAUACAUGAGAUAACAUACACUUUUAGGUUGGAAAGGUGCACACCAUAAGCUUUCCAACCUGAACCCACUUGCACUUCUGCUUUACCUGUACUUUCAUUUAAAUGGAUUUGCAUUAAAUAAUUUCUUACCUUACUGUAGCUUUAUAAUAGUUAACCAGUUGUGAGCUGCUAAAGCUGUGGAUAUAAACCCAGUUGCAGGACAACUCUAACAUGUCUCUAAAGUGAAAGGAGUAAGUGUCAGUACCUUGCAAAAGUAUUCAUACUCUUAUUUACAUUUUGUCACAUACUACACAAUUGUAGUUGUAAUGUAUUUUAUUCGGAUUUCUUGUGAAGUGGAAGAACUAUGAAUGAUUUUCUAAUUAUCUGAUAAAUAAAACCUGAAACGUUUGGCAUACAUUCGUAUUUAGCCCUAUUUACUAAAAUAUUUAAAAUUAAAACUGGUAC